rnacentral:rRNA from 1 species
CCUACGGGAGGCAGCAGUGGGGAAUUUUGGACAAUGGGCGCAAGCCUGAUCCAGCAAUGCCGCGUGCAGGAUGAAGGCCUUCGGGUUGUAAACUGCUUUUGUACGGAACGAAAAGACUCCUUCUAAUAAAGGGGGUUCAUGACGGUACCGUAAGAAUAAGCACCGGCUAACUACGUGCCAGCAGCCGCGGUAAU